GUAGCAUCUUGCAAUGUAAAGUGCUCUGACCAUCAGCUCAUGGUUAUUCUCUGUGUCUCCUCCUCUGUGCUGUGGAGAAAGAAAGGAAGAGAAAACAACAAAGCUGGACAGAGAUGCUGUGACAGUGCUCUGAAGAGGAAUUAAACAGCCUGUUUACCAGAGAGGCCACAGAGGCAAUACUGCCGCAUUGCACAACUGCCUGCGAGCACGAGGCAAGCCUGGAGUCAGGGGCACAUCUCAUCCCACCCAAACCAUUAGCUCUGAAUUGCUGCUGGAGGAGAGAAACUUUAGGCAAAGUAACUUAACCUAAGCCAUGGAGGAAGUCUCAUGGCAGAGUAAGAAUGCAAUCAACCUUUUCCU